AAAUUGUUUCCUGGGCAAGCUUACAGCUUAAACUUAGUCUCAAAUUAGCCUUUUCUCCAGUAGAUUAAUACAGAAAGGCAAGUUUAGGUUUGCCUCAGGUUGCUGUGUAUUGAGAUAAUGAAUAACUAUAACAUUUGUCUACCAAGUGACGAGAGAGGAAGCAGAGAAGAAGCUAGAUUGAU